CCUACGGGAGGCAGCAGUGGGGAAUUUUGGACAAUGGGCGCAAGCCUGAUCCAGCAAUGCCGCGUGAGUGAAGAAGGCCUUCGGGUUGUAAAGCUCUUUUGUCAGGGAAGAAACGGUGGGGGCUAAUAUCCUCCACUAAUGACGGUACCUGAAGAAUAAGCACCGGCUAACUACGUGCCAGCAGCCGCGGUAAUACGUAGGGUGCAAGCGUUAAUCGGAAUUACUGGGCGUAAAGCGUGCGCAGGCGGUUUUGUAAGUUUGUCGUGAAAUCCCCGGGCUCAACCUGGGAAUGGCGAUGAAGACUGCAAGGCUAGAAUCUGGCAGAGGGGGGUAGAAUUCCACGUGUAGCAGUGAAAUGCGUAGAGAUGUGGAGGAACACCGAUGGCGAAGGCAGCCCCCUGGGUCAAGAUUGACGCUCAUGCACGAAAGCGUGGGGAGCAAACAGGAUUAGAUACCCUGGUAGUCCACGCCCUAAACGAUGUCUACUAGUUGUCGGGUUUUAAUUAACUUGGUAACGCAGCUAACGCGUGAAGUAGACCGCCUGGGGAGUACGGUCGCAAGAUUAAAACCGUUAAAGGAAUUGACGG
rnacentral:rRNA from 1 species